rnacentral:tRNA from 1 species
GGCCCCAUCGUCUAGUGGCCUAGGACACCAGAUUCUCAUUCUGGGAACCAGGAUUCGAAUUCCUGUGGGGUCA